CACUCACCCACACGAACGGCAUCGGGAACGGGCUAGAAACCAAUCUCUCUUUCUCUUUUCCUCCGUACUCCCUUCCCUACAAAUCUCUCUCUCUCUCACUCGUUUCUCUCUCUCUGCGGAUUUUCCCGAAUUUCGUCUCCGUACUUCUCUCCCUUUCCCUCACUCCUCCCUCGCACCCUUAUGCCCUACGGGAAAUCGAUUUUUCGACGGAGUCCCCACUGCCGGCCUUGCCGACCAGAGGGACGAAGGAGUUGCAAUGUUUUUGCAACGUAUUUCAUAUCGUCCACGCAUCUCGUAAUUACUAUUGUAUCAAGAAACCAAGCGCGACCUCUAGAUUGUCUUAAUGGCCAAAGAAUUAACUAGUUCACGGAGUUUCUCUCGGAUCUCCCGCCUUGCACACUUUCCAGAUCACGUGACGGUGUAAGGAUCUCUAAACUCGAGAAUUUAUGUCAACAUUUUUCAUUCAUGUUUUAUGACAUUACUGUUUUACUAAUGGGGAAAUAAUAAAUGAAGAAUAAGUAAUAUAUAAUUGCAUUGAUAUUUGAUUUUUUCGACAAAUGUAAUAUAAUUAUAUUUUUUUUAAUUUCCAGUUAUGAAUCGUUAUAAAAAUUGUCCAUAUUCUCUUCAAUUGUAUUUUGUUUUCAUAUGUUAUAAUUGAAAACUAUGAAACAAGUGUAAUGUGUGAAUUUUAAAGCGACCUACGACAAUCUUUGACUUUCUUCGACUUAACCUAAUAAAUGUAUUCCACCGUCAUAAUAAAUCGGCACUCUAAUUUUGUCUUCGAGUAAAUUACUUAAAAACGAACUAAUUACAACAGGAACUAUAUUUUAUCGCUUGUAUUUAACCAAGCUCACGUGCAAACGAUUA